rnacentral:rRNA from 1 species
CAGCCGCCGCGGUAAUACGUAGGGUGCAAGCGUUAAUCGGAAUUACUGGGCGUAAAGCGUGCGCAGGCGGUUAUAUAAGACAGAUGUGAAAUCCCCGGGCUCAACCUGGGAACUGCAUUUGUGACUGUAUAGCUAGAGUACGGCAGAGGGGGAUGGAAUUCCGCGUGUAGCAGUGAAAUGCGUAGAUAUGCGGAGGAACACCGAUGGCGAAGGCAAUCCCCUGGGCCUGUACUGACGCUUAUGCACGAAAGCGUGGGGAGCAAACAGGAUUAGAUACCCCCGUAGUCCCUGUCUCUUAUAC